rnacentral:rRNA from 1 species
UCGAACCCUGCAAAGCAGAACGACCCGUGAACACGUAAAAACAACCGAGUGUCGAGUGGGUUGAGCACUUGUUUGGAUCCUCUCGAUGCUUUGUCGAUGUGCAUUUGCUUGUGUUCUUUUGGACAUGGUGAAUGUUUCAUUGGCGCAAUAACAACCCCCGGCACAAUGUGUGCCAAGGAAAACUAAACUUGAGAAGGCUUGUUUCAUGUUGCCCCGUUCGCGGUGUGCUCAUGGGAUGUGGCUUCUUUAUAAAUCCCGUCGCCCCCAACAAACUAUGUUGGGGNCGGAUAUUGGUCUCCCGUGCUUAUGGCGUGGUUGGCCAAAAUAGGAGUCCCUUCGAUGGACGCACGAACUAGUGGUGGUCGUAAAAACCCUCGUUCUUUGUUUUGUGUCGUCGGUCGCAAGGAUAAGCUCUNUAAAAACCCCAAUGUGUUGUCUUAGGAUGACGCUUCGACCG